rnacentral:lncRNA from 1 species
GAUCGGCCAGUGAAAAUAGUUAGAGACACCUCCGAACAAAUAGCAACUUACUAUCUCGUUGUUGCCAGGUGAGUGAACUUGCAUUAAAAUGUUUUGGAAUAAAUGAUUUUAUGCUUGAUUGAGCCACUUGAAAUAUUUUGUUGGUUUUUCUUUAAAAGUUGCAUGGGAACAAGCCUUUGAUGAAAUGUUUUGAUAUUAUGAUAUAUGAACAUGAUGAAUUCAUGAGUUUUUACAUUAUAUUUAUGUGUAUAUUAUACAUUAAAUGAUAUUUUUGUGUGAUAAUUAUGACCUAGCCAUGUGCAGUGUAGGAGUGCACAUGAGCUAUGCUGACCCAGCCAUGUGCGGUGUAGAAGUGCACACGAGCUGUGCUGACCCAGCCAUGUUCGGUGUAUGAGUGCACAUGAGCUGUGCUGACCUGGCUAUGUACGGAGUGGUAGUGCACAUAAGCUAAGACAGAGUUGGGGGCGAGGCCGGUGGUUAUAUAUGUUUCUAUAUGAUAUAUAUAUAUAUAGAGGUUUUUGGAAAUUAUAUUGUGGCUGCAUUGAUUUUUGAAUGUUAAAACUUGAGAAAUGGUUUCCACUUGAUUUUCACCGCAGCAAAGAUAAAUUUCCGUUGUGACAAGAAAUUGAGUUAGAUUGGAUUGUCUUCAACAUAAAUGCAUCAUAAUUUCUAAAACCUCCCGUAUUGAUGCUUGUUCCCUUCCUAUGUUCACUCACUAAGUUUAUACUCACGUUUUUAAAAUUCAUGUUUUAGGUUUCCUUAGUUAAAGGUGAUUGGAUUCUAGGACGAGGUGCUCCUCCCUGUACAUUGCUCGGUAGGUUUAAUGUGACACUAAGUGUUAUCAAUCGUGCCCAGAGUCACUCCACUGACGAUCAAGGUCUAAUUAUGUGUAUGUGAAUAUUUAAUGUGAACAUUAAGAAUCAUUGUUAAUCUAUUAAUG